rnacentral:rRNA from 1 species
CCUACGGGAGGCAGCAGUGGGGGAUAUUGCACAAUGGGGGAAACCCUGAUGCAGCGACGCCGCGUGUGGAAAGACGGUCCUCUGGAUUGUAAACCACUGUCCCCAGGGACGAAGAUGACGGUACCUGGGGAGGAAGCUCCGGCUAACUACGUGCCAGCAGCCGCGGUAAUACGUAGGGCGCGAGCGUUGUCCGGAAUUACUGGGUGAAAAGGGAGCGUAGGCGGGGAUGAAAGUUGGGUGUCAAAACUACCGGCUCAACUGGUAGUCGCACUCAAAACUGCAGCUCUUGAGUGAAGUAGAGGCAGGCGGAAUUCCUAGUGUAGCGGUGAAAUGCGUAGAGAUGAGGAGGAACACCAGUGGCGAAGGCGGCCUGCUGGGCUUUUACUGACGCUGAGGCUCGAAAGUGUGGGGAGCAAACAGGAUUAGAUACCCGAGUAGUC